rnacentral:misc_RNA from 1 species
GAGAGUGCCCUACUCCCAAAAACCCACUGUGAACUUACCUGUACGUUGCCUCGGCGGGGGGGGAGGGGCUGGCCACCCCCCCCUUCCCGCCAGGCGGCCCAACCAAAAACACUGUUUCGCCCUGAAUCUCUGAAAAACCAUACAAACAAGUUA